rnacentral:rRNA from 1 species
AGUAAAUAGAUACCCAGGUAGUCCACGCCGUAAACGAUGAGUACUAGGUGUAGGAGGUAUCGACUCCUUCUGUGCCGCAGUUAAACACAAUAAGUACUCCGCCUGGGAAGUACGGUCGCAAGAUUAAAACUCAAAGGAAUUGACGGGGGCCCGCACAAGCAGCGGAGCAUGUGGUUUAAUUCGAAGCAACGCGAAGAACCUUACCUAGACUUGACAUCUCCUGAAUAGUGUAGAGAUACAUGAAGCCCUUCGGGGUCAGGAAGACAGGUGGUGCAUGGUUGUCGUCAGCUCGUGUCGUGAGAUGUUGGGUUAAGUCCCGCAACGAGCGCAACCCGUUAUUACUAGUUGCUACCAUUAAGUUGAGCACUCUAGUGAGACUGCCCGGGGUUAACCCGGGAGGAAGGCGGGGUAUGACGUCAAAUCAUCAUG